rnacentral:misc_RNA from 1 species
AAGUCGUAACAAGGUUUCCGUAGGUGAACCUGCGGAAGGAUCAUUAACGAACAACGGGGCUCGCCCCUUGUCCACAAACACGCCCCCCCCGUGCACGUUGAAGGCCCGGCUGGUUGAGUGGGUGGGCGACCGCCCAGGAUUCGUAGCCUCGCUUUCUUUACACAAACUUCAGAAUGUACAUCGGAAUGUGUUACGCGUCGUGACGCGUCGUAAUAUAACUUUCAGCAACGGAUCUCUUGGCUCUC